UACGUAGGGGGCAAGCGUUACUCGGAAUUACUGGGCGUAAAGCGUGCGCAGGCGGUUGUGUAAGACAGGCGUGAAAUCCCCGGGCUCAACCUGGGAACUGCGCUUGUGACUGCACGGCUAGAGUACGGCAGAGGGGGGUGGAAUUCCACGUGUAGCAGUGAAAUGCGUAGAGAUGUGGAGGAACACCGAUGGCGAAGGCAGCCCCCUGGGCCGAUGCUGACGCUCAUGCACGAAAGCGUGGGUAGCAAACAGG
rnacentral:rRNA from 1 species